GAUGAACGCUGGCGGCGUGCUUAACACAUGCAAGUCGAACGGGAAACCUUUUAUUGAAGCUUCGGCAGAUUUAGCUGGUUUCUAGUGGCGGACGGGUGAGUAACGCGUGGGUAACCUGCCUUAUACAGGGGGAUAACAACCAGAAAUGGUUGCUAAUACCGCAUAAGCGCACAGGACCGCAUGGUCCGGUGUGAAAAACUCCGGUGGUAUAAGAUGGACCCGCGUUGGAUUAGCUAGUUGGCAGGGUAACGGCCUACCAAGGCGACGAUCCAUAGCCGGCCUGAGAGGGUGGACGGCCACAUUGGGACUGAGACACGGCCCAGACUCCUACGGGAGGCAGCAGUGGGGAAUAUUGCACAAUGGGGGAAACCCUGAUGCAGCGACGCCGCGUGAAGGAAGAAGUAUCUCGGUAUGUAAACUUCUAUCAGCAGGGAAGAUAGUGACGGUACCUGACUAAGAAGCCCCGGCUAACUACGUG
rnacentral:rRNA from 1 species